rnacentral:rRNA from 1 species
GAUGAACGCUGGCGGCGUGCCUAAUACAUGCAAGUCGAGCGAACGGACGAGAAGCUUGCUUCUCUGAUGUUAGCGGCGGACGGGUGAGUAACACGUGGAUAACCUACCUAUAAGACUGGGAUAACUUCGGGAAACCGGAGCUAAUACCGGAUAAUAUUUUGAACCGCAUGGUUCAAAAGUGAAAGACGGUCUUGCUGUCACUUAUAGAUGGAUCCGCGCUGCAUUAGCUAGUUGGUAAGGUAACGGCUUACCAAGGCAACGAUGCAUAGCCGACCUGAGAGGGUGAUCAGCCACACUGGAACUGAGACACGGUCCAGACUCCUACGGGAGGCAGCAGUAGGGAAUCUUCCGCAAUGGGCGAAAGCCUGACGGAGCAACGCCGCGUGAGUGAUGAAGGUCUUCGGAUCGUAAAACUCUGUUAUUAGGAAAGAACAUAUGUGUAAGUAACUGUGCACAUCUUGACGGUACCUAAUCAGAAAGCCACGGCUAACUACGUG